rnacentral:lncRNA from 1 species
AGUCAGCAAGAGACGCUGGGGAGAGAAUCCGGACUGCGAGCCCGGCGGCUGCCGCAGCGGAGGAGGGCGGCUCGGAGACGGUACUCCAACUGUUGAAUUGAAUUUUUCACCUUCCAUUUCCUCCGCGUCUUGGCUGGCGGAGAUGGAUUUAUUCGGUUUGAAACCUGCACGUCUUUCUCAGGCUUUGGGGUGAUCCUGACAGGCACCGCACUAGACUGAAAGAGACCACUCGUGAC